rnacentral:tRNA from 1 species
GGUUGUGGCUCAGUGGUAGAGUGCUUGCCUAACAUGCAUGAGGCUCUGGGUUUGAUCCCCAGAACCA